rnacentral:lncRNA from 1 species
AUGCUCAUCAUGGGGGCUGUGCUGCUGUUACUAAUUGGUGUGGCUGAUGGUGUGAAGACCUUCUGCAACGCCACACAGCCACACAUCACGACCCAGUGCUUUGGCUCUCUGGGAGGAACCGUGGAGGUCCAGCUGCCUACUCACUCCCCACAUGAGCAUUCCUACACACUGAAGAAGAACAAGGUCCCGAUAGUUGAGGGCGAAAUCAAGAUAACAGACCCCCGAUAUUCAUUAAAUGUCAGUACUGGCGUCUUUACCAUAGAGGACCUCAAGAAGACAGACUAUGAUGCAUAUUCACUGGCAGCACAUAAUGGUGUUGAAAUAGCAACUAAACUUUUAUCCAUUCAGGGUGUGAAGACCUUCUGCAACGCCACACAGCCACACAUCACGACCCAGUGCUUUGGCUCUCUGGGAGGAACCGUGAAGGUCCAGCUGCCUGCUAAGACCUCACAAGAUGAUAUCUACAAACUGAAGAAAGACAAUGUUGUGGUUUUGUCCAAGAGCAGUGAGACAACAAACUUUCGAUAUUCAUUUAAUAUCAGUACUGGAAUAUUUGCUAUAAAGGACAUCGACUGGUCAGACAACGGUACAUACUCUAUGGAACUACACGAUGCAGCUGGAGGGGAAGUAGCAAAUACAAAAUGUAAUUUAACCAUUCAAGGUGUGAAGACCUUCUGCAACGCCACACAGCCACACAUCACGACCCAGUGCAUUGGCUCUCUGGGAGGAACCGUGGAGGUCCAGCUGCCUAAGACCUCACAAGAUGAUGUCUACAGACUGAAGAAAGACAAUUACCGGAUUUUAUCAGACCGCAGUCUGACAACAAACAUUCGAUAUUCUUUUAAUGUCAAUACUGGAAUGUUUGCUAUCAAGGAAUUCAACAGGACAGACAAAGGUACAUACUCGAUGGAAGUUCAUGAUCAGAGUGGAAUGAAAAUAUCAUUCAACCAAUUUCGCUUAACCAUUGAAGGUGUGAAGACCUUCUGCAACGCCACACAGCCACACAUCCCGACCCAGUGCUUUGGCUCUCUGGGAGGAACCGUGGAGGUCCAGCUGCCUACUCACUCCCCACAUGAGCAUUCCUACACACUGAAGAAGAACAAGGUCCCGAUAGUUGAGGGCGAAAUCAAGAUAAAAGACCCCCGAUAUUCAUUCAAUGUCAGUACUGGCGUCUUUACCAUAGAGGACCUCAGGAAGACAGACUAUGAUGCAUAUUCACUUGCAGCACAUAAUGGAGUAGAAAUAGCAACUAAACUUUUAUCCAUUCAGGGUGUGAAGACCAUUUGCAACGCCACACAGUCACACAUCACGACCCAGUGCUUUGGCUCUCUGGGAGGAACCGUUGAGGUCCAGCUGCCUGCUAAGACCUCACAAGACCAUCGCUACGUACUGAAGAAAAACAAAAUUCACAUAGCAGACAACACUCGCAAUUCAUUUAAUAGCAACACCAAAAUAUUCAUGAUAAUGGACAUCAACGGGUUGGACGGGGGUACAUACUCAAUGGAAGUACGGAAUAUGACUGGAACUCGAGUAGCAAAUACCAAUUUUUACUUAUCCAUUCAAGGUGUGAAGACCUUCUGCGACGCCACACAGCCACACAUCACGACCCAGUGCUUUGGCUCUCUGGGAGGAACCGUGGAGGUCCAGCUGCCUAAGUCCUCACAAAGUAGUAUCUACAAACUGAAGAAAAAGGAUGUCCCGAUUUUAUCAGACCGCAGUCCGACAACAAACAUUCGAUAUUCUUUUAAUGUCAGUACUGGAAUGUUUGCUAUAAAGGAAUUCAACAGGACAGACAAGGGUACAUACUGGAUGGAAGUUCAUGAUCAGAAUGGAAAGGAAAUAUCAUUCAACCUAUUUCGCUUAUCCAUUGAAGGUGUGAAGACCUUCUGCAACGCCACACAGACACACAUCACGACCCAGUGCUUUGGCUCUCUGGGAGGAACCGUGAAGGUCCAGCUGCCUAUUAAGACCUCACAACACCAUCGCUACGUACUGAAGAAAAACAAAGUUACAAUACCAGACAACACUCGCCAUUCAUUUAGUAGCGACACCAAAAUAUUUACGAUAACGGACAUUAAUCGGUCAGACAUGGAUACAUACUUCAUGGAAGAACGGAAUGAGAACGGGGUUCCAGUAGCAAAUACCAGUUUUUAUUUAUCCAUUCAUGGUGAGUGA